UACAGAGGUCCCAAGCGUUGUUCGGAUUUACUGGGCGUAAAGGGUGCGUAGGUGGUUGGGUAAGUCUGGUGUGAAAUCUCGGAGCUUAACUCCGAAACGGCAUUGGAUACUAUUCAGCUUGAGAGUUGGAGGGGGGACUGGAAUGCUCGGUGUAGCAGUGAAAUGCGUAGAUAUCGAGCGGAACACCAGUGGCGAAGGCGAGUCCCUGGACAACUUCUGACACUGAGGCACGAAAGCCAGGGGAGCAAACGGG
rnacentral:rRNA from 1 species